AACCAUAGAAACCUGCGGAGUACCUGCGGAAGGAUCAUUAAUGAAUGGCCGUCUGACGGCCUUCAAACCCCUCAAACCAUGUGGAAAGAGAUUGUGCUUCGGCGCCCAGGCGCCGCUUUUAUGCAGAACCACAGCCUGUGUCUGAAUGGAAAGCAGAAAAUGAAAACUUUCAACAAUGGAUCU
rnacentral:misc_RNA from 1 species